rnacentral:rRNA from 1 species
GUCAAUGAUGGGUGCUGUGAGGCGGCAAUUAGGAGGGGUCGGGCGUAAUUCGCGAUUAUGGAGUGGAAAUGUCGCGUAUGCGUGUUUGUAAGUCAAAGGUGAAAGCCCUCGGCUCAACUGGGUAACUGCCUUUUAAACUGUAAAGCUUGAGGCCGGUAGGGGGUAGCGGAAUUCCCAGUGUAGCGGUGAAAUGCGUAGAUAUUGGGAGGAACACCAGUGGCGAAGGCGGCUACCUGGACCGGUUCUGACGCUGAGGCGCGAAAGCGUGGGUAGCAAACAGGAUUAGAUACCCUAGUAGUC